rnacentral:tRNA from 1 species
ACCAGGAUGGCCGAGUGGUUAAGGCGUGGACUUAAGUUCCAAUGUACGAAUGUACGCGUGGGUUCAAACCCCACUCCUGGUA